rnacentral:lncRNA from 1 species
GGCUUCAUCUUCCCUGUCUUGUUCCUGGGCGCAGAGGGCUCCUCCGGCGCCGCCGAGCUGCGCCCGCUGCCUUCACACCCCGGACAUCCGCGCCACACGGACCCAGACCCCAGGAGGCCUCACCCCACAGCAAGAGAAAGACCACGAGCAUGGACAUGAUGGUCGCGCUCACUCCGGUGCAGUGAGUGUCUGGGUGAUGGAUCCUAGAACCUGUUCUAGAAGGAGACGCUGAGUUCUCCCCACUCUACCUGGAGCUGCUGAGGUCAAGUGGAGAGUGCCGGGGCUGAAGCCCAGCGAGCCCCUCCCUGUCACACCACACUGCACAUGUGACACCAAAGGUGGGGUUCACCUCUUUUCAGACUUUCUGCGGUUGCCCUCACAUGGGCUGUCUGGAGGUGCACCCUCACUCUUCCUGAGGACUGUGGUUCCUUCUCCAUCACUGGUUCAUUCUGCAUGGUGUGACCCACCACGGCUCUGGAGUCGGAUUUCCACCCAGGUCAUUCAGCUGAGACCUGCGCUUCCCAGGCCUACCCGUGACAUGUGCUCAGUUACCUGAGCUGCUGGUGGUCACUCAUGUGGCUAUAGCCUGCUGCCUGGAGGCCAGGCCUCCCGCUUCCCCUGCCUCCCCCUCUCCUCACCACAGCCUGUUGGGAUGGAACAGGACAGGGGUGAGACCGUGGUGCUUUCACACUCAGCCUCCAUGGACAUCCUGUCAUUCCCACCCGGGGAGGUCUGGUCCCCACCCUGGGUGUCCCAGCCUAGCUCCGCUACGAGUGUGAGGGCCCAGGGCAACCGCCUAGCCCUCAUCUGCCCCCUGCACUGCAUCCUCCCCACUCAUUCAUUCCACAGGCAUUUAUUGAGCAUCUACUGUGUGCCAGAUGCAAAGAAGACAGUGGGAUAACUGGGCAAGGAGCAUUCCAGGCAGAGGGAACAGCCAGUGCAAACAUGGGAGAUGCGGGUGCAGUGAGAAGGAGCAGAGGAGACCAGGAGUUGAGGCGACUGCAGAGCGAUUGCAGAGCUCAUAGACGUGAUGAAGACCAGCUGGGCACUGCAGCGGCUCUGGCUUCUGCUGUGAGGGACGGGGAGCUGUGGAGACUCCCUCUGUUUGGUCCCAUUUCCAUAUUGCUGAGCACCUGCUGCAUGCUCUCUGUCCUGCUCAGAGCCAGUACCUGGAUGGAGGCUGUGUGUUCUGGGUGGACUGGGGGAGAAUGCAUUCUUUGCAGAAGAGACAACCAGGUGCUGAGGCCUGAAGUCAUAACCAGACCUGGGGCACUCAGACAAGGACUGGUGGCCAGGCCAGAGGAGCAGAGCUCAGGGUGUGCACAGAACUCAGAAGUCAGACCACUGAACAGUGACAGAACCUUUCAGCCCAUUGGCAAUGAGGCUGCCCAGGCAGCCAGAGGCCUGGUCAAAUCUGAGGUCUGCAGAGAUGGAGCUGUCAUUCUGUGUUUCCUUUGGCAGUCCCAACACCAGCCUCGUUGCACCCUCCUCUUAGCUUCCCUGGGUUCUCCAGCCCUAAGGGUGGUAGCAGCUUCCUGCAAGUAUCCAGCUCUGAGAUUCUGCAACAUCCACUUUUGCUCUCUGAGCCUUGCAAAACCUGCACAAUCAGUCCCUAACUUAUAUCCCCUCUGUUUGAAAUACCUAGUGUGGUUUCUAUUUCCUGACUU